rnacentral:rRNA from 1 species
AUACGAACCGGACAAACGUUAUUCGGAAUCACUGGGCUUAAAGAGUACGUAGGCGGCUAUACAAGUUGGGUGUGAAAUCCCACGGCUCAACCGUGGAACUGCGCUCAAAACUGUGUAGCUAGAGGGAGACAGGGGUGAGCGGAACAGAUGGUGGAGCGGUGAAAUGCGUUGAUAUCAUCUGGAACACCGGUGGCGAAGGCGGCUCACUGGGUCUCUUCUGACGCUGAGGUACGAAAGCUAGGGUAGCGAACGGGAUUAGAUACCCCAGUAGUCC